rnacentral:tRNA from 1 species
CAUAUAUAUGUACUAUAUCAUAGGGUAGGACAAAGGGGGGCCAUGAGUGCCUGUCAGAGAGUAGUUUAGGUUAGAACGCUAGCUUUGGGAGCUAGUGGCGGGGGUUUAAGUCCCCUCUCUUUGA